UACGUAGGUGGCGAGCGUUGUCCGGAAUUAUUGGGCGUAAAGAGCAUGUAGGCGGCUUAAUAAGUCGAGCGUGAAAAUGCGGGGCUCAACCCCGUAUGGCGCUGGAAACUGUUAGGCUUGAGUGCAGGAGAGGAAAGGGGAAUUCCCAGUGUAGCGGUGAAAUGCGUAGAUAUUGGGAGGAACACCAGUGGCGAAGGCGCCUUUCUGGACUGUGUCUGACGCUGAGAUGCGAAAGCCAGGGUAGCGAACGGG
rnacentral:rRNA from 5 species